rnacentral:rRNA from 1 species
GGGUCAGUAGGUUGGUCGUGCCACCGGUACGUACUGGUCUCACUGAUUCCUCCUUCCUGAAGAACCGUAAUGCCAUUAAUUUGGUGUUGCGGGGAAACAGGACUGUUACUUUGAAAAAAUUAUAGUGUUUAAAGCAAGCUAAUGCUUGAAUACAUUAGCAUGGAAUAAUGAAAUAGGACGAUCGAUCCUAUUUUGUUGGUUUCUAGGAUUGACGUA